CGCAGGGAACUGAAACAUCUAAGUACCUGCAGGAGAAGAAAACAAACGUGAUUCCCCCAGUAGCGGCGAGCGACCGGGGAAAAGCCCAAACCGUUAUUGUUUCGGCAUUAACGGGGUAGUAGGACUGCAAGCUUGAUGAAAUAAAUGAAAUGGAACACCUUGGAAAAUGUGAUCACAGAGGGUGAUAAUCCCGUACAUGCAAGUUUAUGAAUCAUAGCAGUAUCCUGAGUAAGUCGGGA
rnacentral:rRNA from 1 species